rnacentral:rRNA from 2 species
CGCUCAGGACGAACGCUGGCGGCGUGCUUAAUACAUGCAAGUCGAGCGGACCGACGGGAGCUUGCUCCCUUUAGGUCAGCGGCGGACGGGUGAGUAACACGUGGGUAACCUGCCUGUAAGACUGGGAUAACUCCGGGAAACCGGGGCUAAUACCGGAUGCUUGAUUGAACCGCAUGGUUCAAUCAUAAAAGGUGGCUUUCAGCUACCACUUACAGAUGGACCCGCGGCGCAUUAGCUAGUUGGUGAGGUAACGGCUCACCAAGGCGACGAUGCGUAGCCGACCUGAGAGGGUGAUCGGCCACACUGGGACUGAGACACGGCCCAGACUCCUACGGGAGGCAGCAGUAGGGAAUCUUCCGCAAUGGACGAAAGUCUGACGGAGCAACGCCGCGUGAGUGAUGAAGGUUUUCGGAUCGUAAAACUCUGUUGUUAGGGAAGAACAAGUACCGUUCGAAUAGGGCGGUACCUUGACGGUACCUAACCAGAAAGCCACGGCUAACUACGUGCCAGCAGCCGCGGUAAUACGUAGGUGGCAAGCGUUGUCCGGAAUUAUUGGGCGUAAAGCGCGCGCAGGCGGUUUCUUAAGUCUGAUGUGAAAGCCCCCGGCUCAACCGGGGAGGGUCAUUGGAAACUGGGGAACUUGAGUGCAGAAGAGGAGAGUGGAAUUCCACGUGUAGCGGUGAAAUGCGUAGAGAUGUGGAGGAACACCAGUGGCGAAGGCGACUCUCUGGUCUGUAACUGACGCUGAGGCGCGAAAGCGUGGGGAGCGAACAGGAUUAGAUACCCUGGUAGUCCACGCCGUAAACGAUGAGUGCUAAGUGUUAGAGGGUUUCCGCCCUUUAGUGCUGCAGCAAACGCAUUAAGCACUCCGCCUGGAGACCUCCGUCG